rnacentral:rRNA from 1 species
UACGUAGGGACCGAGCGUUGUCCGGAUUCAUUGGGCGUAAAGAGCUCGUAGGCGGCCACUCAAGUCGAAUGUGAAACCUCGAGGCUUAACCUCGAGCCUGCAUUCGAUACUGGGCGGCUAGAGUCUGGUAGGGGGAUCUGGAAUUCCUGGUGUAGCGGUGGAAUGCGCAGAUAUCAGGAGGAACACCGGUGGCGAAGGCGGAUCUCUGGGCCGAUACUGACGCUGAGGAGCGAAAGCGUGGGGAGCGAACAGG